CUCACUCUUUGAACAUCAUAGGUUAUGAAUGCUCUCCCUGAACACUCCGAUAUUCACUGGUCAGUUUGCAGUCCUGCCUACCACUUCAGGAACGUUCUCCCACUCUGAUGACUUCUGGGAUCCAGCUUCCUUUUCUAUAAAGGGUGCUUAGUGCUGUAAAACGGGAAUCUGACUAACACAGUGUGUUGAAUAGCUGGUCUUCUGUAAUGCCUAGAAGCAGCACAAGAUGGGGCCACUGGACACAGUCAUCCCUGUAUCCUUCAGCACCGUAGAAUUUGUGAUUAGUUAUCAGCACAGAAAAACACUUUUCUUUGAUUAAAUCUUUUCUGAUUCUUUUCUAAAUACUAGAACUAAAUACUCAAUACCAGAACUGACCUGAUUGUGUAGGAACAUGGGAAUAUCCUCUAAAGAUCUACCAUAUACACACCCUCUGCUGUCCUCUACUUCUGGGCACUUGAUCCCUGUGACUGUCUUCCUGGGAUGCUCACCCUCUCGUUUAUUUACACAUCUUUUCUCCAGUGUCCCAGUACAUUGUCAUUAUGUGAAGAAGUAGUGGGGACUCUGUCCUUAUCAUCCCAUGGUAUUCCAUACUCUCAAUUGUCCCUUGCAGAUCCUGGUGCUUUCCCACAAGAAGUUGCUCAAUGUGGCUACCAGGGAGGCCAAACAUAAGCCUGUGUCUGCAGACAGGAGGGCACCAACAAUGUGUCAAGCAACCUCAUCUGCAUCGUCACAAGCAUCUGCAGUGUGGAUAUCUGGUCAACAUGGUCGUUUGACAGUUGUGGAGCCCCUCCCACCAAUAAAGGUUAGCAACUUGUCGGGCUUUCAUGGCAUUUAUGGCAGCUAGAUUGUGCUUCUUUGAGUAAGUCCAAAUCAGUGCUACUAGGUAUGUAUGAUGCUUAUACACCUUACCCUAAUUUAAACAGAUGGUGUGGGCACUGAGAACAUGUAGCCCUGCAAAGCAUUUUAAAUUAUUCACAUAUUUCUCAUUUACCUAUUCACUCUCCCCUACAUCCUGUCUGUAGUCUGUCUCUUCUCUCUCUUCUCUGUUUUUAUAUCUUUUGUUCCGUCUUUUUCUCAUUCUUGGCAUCUGUUUCUGACUCUCUCCUGUUCUCUUUCUUACUGCCUAGCUGCCUCUUUGUCUGUCUAUACAUCUGUCUCUCCCUUGCUCUAUCUCUGUCUCUCUUUCUCUGUCUCUCUCUUCCUCUCCCUCUACCUACCCCCCCUCUAUCUCUCUCUCCCUCCCUCCCCAUCCUCUCUCUCCCUCUGUGUGUGUGUGUGUGUGUCCAUGCAUGUGGGGGCAGGUAGCAUGUAUAUUUCCUGGAGAGCCUGUGG
ensembl:lncRNA